rnacentral:rRNA from 1 species
GAUGAACGCUGGCGGCGCGCCUAAUACAUGCAAGUCGAGCGAACGGACGAGAAGCUUGCUUCUCUGAUGUUAGCGGCGGACGGGUGAGUAACACGUGGAUAACCUACCUAUAAGACUGGGAUAACUUCGGGAAACCGGAGCUAAUACCGGAUGAUAUUUUGAACCGCAUGGUUCAAAAGUGAAAGACGGUCUUGCUGUCACUUAUAGAUGGAUCCGCGCUGCAUUAGCUAGUUGGUAAGGUAACGGCUUACCAAGGCAACGAUGCAUAGCCGACCUGAGAGGGUGAUCGGCCACACUGGAACUGAGACACGGUCCAGACUCCUACGGGAGGCAGCAGUAGGGAAUCUUCCGCAAAGGGCGAAAGCCUGACGGAGCAACGCCGCGUGAGUGAUGAAGGUCUUCGGAUCGUAAAACUCUGUUAUUAGGGAAGAACAUAUGUGUAAGUAACUGUGCACAUCUUGACGGUACCUAAUCAGAAAGCCACGGCUAACUACGUG